rnacentral:rRNA from 1 species
ACGCGUGGAACCUUACCAGGUCUUGACAUCCUCUGACACUCCUAGAGAUAGGACGUUCCCCUUCGGGGGACAGAGUGACAGGUGGUGCAUGGUUGUCGUCAGCUCGUGUCGUGAGAUGUUGGGUUAAGUCCCGCAACGAGCGCAACCCUUGAUCUUAGUUGCCAGCAUUAAGUUGGGCACUCUAAGGUGACUGCCGGUGACAAACCGGAGGAAGGUGGGGAUGACGUCAAAUCAUCAUGCCCCUUAUGACCUGGGCUACACACGUGCUACAAUGGAUGGUACAAAGGGCUGCAAGACCGCGAGGUUUAGCCAAUCCCAUAAAACCAUUCUCAGUUCGGAUUGCAGGCUGCAACUCGCCUGCAUGAAGCUGGAAUCGCUAGUAAUCGCGGAUCAGCAUGCCGCGGUGAAUACGUUCCCGGGCCUUGCACUCACCGCCCGU